GGGCCCGUAGCUCAGCUUGGAUAGAGCGGCACCCUCCUAAGGUGAAGGUCGCGGGUUCAAAUUCGGUUUGAUCCG
rnacentral:tRNA from 1 species